UACGUAGGCAGCAAGCGUUGUUCGGAAUUACUGGGCGUAAAGCGAGUGUAGGCGGUUCGAUAAGUUUGGUGUGAAAUCUCCCGGCUCAACUGGGAGGGUGCGCCGAAGACUGUCGAGCUAGAGUGUGGGAGAGGUAGGCGGAAUUCCUGGUGUAGCGGUGAAAUGCGUAGAUAUCAGGAGGAACACCUGCGGUGUAGACGGCUUACUGGACCACGACUGACGCUGCAACUCGAAAGUGCGGGGAGCAAACAAG
rnacentral:rRNA from 1 species